ensembl:lncRNA
CAAGACAGGGAGUUCACGUUGUUUUAUUUUUUUAAGUCACUAGCUUUCCACAGUGUAUAUGCCAGGAAGUCUCAUGGGAACCUGUUUUCAGUUAGUCUCAACUGGGAAGGCCCAGGUGCCGGAGCGUCAUGCCAGCGAGCCCCGGGCCCCUCCCGAUGUCCCAUGAGGCGUCCGUGCUCCCGAGCUCCAAGGUCAGCCCCCUGCACUCCAGAAGCCUGCCAGCCCCACCCCAGAGCCGUUCUCGCGGGGCCACCUCCUCCCAGCCAGACCUCCUGUAGCCCCAGAGGAAGGCCUCAGCCAGGAGCCACUGCCGGGACUCAGACCUUUCCAGAAAAGGAAGUCAUUGACUCCUCUGUCCAGAAGACGUCUUUGAACUGUGACCUUUUCACCCUCCGCUCUUGGUCAAGGAGCAAUCGUCUUGGCCUCACCAGGCGCCCGUCAGCCAACCGUGCGGAUGACCAGCCCCUCUGGAGGCACCCCUUCCCCAGCUUAGCCUGAACCAGUUCUUGAAACUGUUCGCAGACCACAGGCCUUCGUGGGCAGGACCUGGAGCUGUGAAGGGCCCCUCUGCGCUCCAGCUGCGUCCUUGGCGUGGACGGUGACCAGGAGCUCUCGGGCCGCCCUCCUCUGCUGGCCUCACCGCCCACCUUAGCUCCAGCCUCGGCCUUCAUGCCUGCGGCUUCUGGAACCACGUGCUUCUAGCCGCAGGCGCCCUGGGGCCUUCCUGAGCUCCUCCGACCCCCUCCUUCUCUAGAGGUUGGUGUGGCUCCGUGUCUCUGCUUCUCACACUGCAGUCUCAGAAGGCGGAUUUCCCUCAAUCUAGGGAGAGCUUGAUAAGCCUCUGUUCUUGUUUCUGCUGUCUCUGUGUUUGGUGAUCCAUCUCGCAUCAGAUUCUCCCAGCUCUGUGUGCUGGAUUUAAAUUAGAACAUUCGGGGUGGGAGGAGGUUCAAGAGGGAGGGGACAUAGGUAUACUUACGGCCGAUUGACGUUUUUGUUCAGCAGAAAGCACCAUGACAUUGUAAGGCAGUUAUCCUCCAGUUGAAAAAAUAUCAACUUUCACAAGUGACUUAGGUAGAUUCUCUCUAGAGGAAAGUGAUCAGUGUUGUCAGGUGGAGGCCCGCAGGCCACUGCUCACAGUUAAAGCAGGAAAAACUGGUCCUUAGGGCUCCAGGCGGGAGAGCACGCGCCCUCCGGCCACUUUUGUGUCCUGUGGUGUGGUGUCGGCUCCCGGGUCAGGGCCCUCACUGCUCCCCCACAGCCCUCUCCAGCUCUCAGACAUCAGCCCACAGCCAGGACUCUGAGCUGACUUUGCUUUUACUGUCCUAGGAUGGUGGAGAGUAAAGUGUCAGGGCUGGGAUUCCAUCAGUCUGAGUUUCAGCCAAGAAACUGCACAUUCAGGGACUUCCUUGGUGGUCCAGUGGCUAAGACUCUGCGUUCCCAAUGCAGGGGGCCCAGGUUCGAUCCCUGGUCAGGAAACUAGAUCCCAUAUGCCACAACUAAGACCCGGCAUAUCCACAUAAAUGAAAAAAAAAAAAAAGA